rnacentral:rRNA from 1 species
AUUGAACGCUGGCGGCAGGCCUAACACAUGCAAGUCGAACGGUAACAGGGAUCAGCUUGCUGAUUCGCUGACGAGUGGCGGACGGGUGAGUAAUGUCUGGGAAACUGCCUGAUGGAGGGGGAUAACUACUGGAAACGGUAGCUAAUACCGCAUAACGUCGCAAGCCCAAAGAGGGGGACCUUCGGGCCUCUUGCCAUCGGAUGUGCCCAGAUGGGAUUAGCUAGUAGGUGGGGUAACGGCUCACCUAGGCGACGAUCCCUAGCUGGUCUGAGAGGAUGACCAGCCACACUGGAACUGAGACACGGUCCAGACUCCUACGGGAGGCAGCAGUGGGGAAUAUUGCACAAUGGGCGCAAGCCUGAUGCAGCCAUGCCGCGUGUAUGAAGAAGGCCUUCGGGUUGUAAAGUACUUUCAGCGGGGAGGAAGGGAGUAAAGUUAAUACCUUUGCGCAUUGACGUUACCCGCAGAAGAAGCACCGGCUAACUCCGUG